CGGGACUGACAGUAGUUGACACAACAUUUUAGAAUACAAUCGACUUUGUGUUGGCUCUGAAUGUGAUAGUGGUUCAUUUUGUACAACGUUUUACAACUUUGUGUCUUACGGACUACUUUUCAAAACAUAUUAUCUUAUAUAAUACAGACGUUACUUCAAAAAAGAAUUUUAUGAUGGAGUCAGAAGGUCUCAAGUUGACAGCUAGGUUCAGAGAUUCUACAUAUACAGGUCAGGGUCAAGGUCCUGUAGUAAACCUAUUACCUGAGGACGACACUAACCCAACUGCUUCUGUUACAGCUUGCAGACUACGAAAUGGUCAGAUCGACUACAUAUCGACUGACCGAUCCGACCAGGUAGACAGCAGCCUGGGUACGGUACUUGGGACAAUUAAAAUCAAUGACGAGUCUUUCAGUGUCAUCGUGCAAAAUCAUGAAACAAUUAAAAGCCACACGUUCACUAUGAUGGGUUCUGAUUUAGUUGAGAUACUCAUGAAUCAAAUCAGUGACUUGUGGGGUGUACUACCACAACAACAGAGACUUAUAUUUGCAGGCAAACAGUUAAACGAAAAAAAGACAUUGUCAGAGUAUGGCAUUCAGGAAGGAUCAAAGAUUCUAAUGGUAUUACGUUGUCGAGGAGGCUAAACAAACGAAAUGUUUCUUUGAACUUUGAUGUUCUUCUGAUACAAAGGAACUUGACUAUUCUCUAGCAAUCGUAUUUUCAAUUUUUCAAUUUAAUUCUUAUUUCUAAUGAAUUCUAAGUUAUGAACUUAUGCCGAAUAAUUGAUUCUAGAAGUUUGAAAUGUAAUUCUGUUUCAUUAUUUGAGAACUAAAUUGGGCAAUUGUGUUCUGUUUAAGGUCUAGCUAGUUAAUAUGUAGUGUUUAUAUGUUUACAAAGUGGUCCAGCUAGUUAACAUGUAUGUAAUAAUGUUUUACAAGUAGUUUAACUGGUUGAUAGGUCAUUUAAUUUAUGUUUUGCAAGAGGUCUAACUGUGUGAUAUGAAUGUUAUUAUGUUCGCCGGAUGGAGGGCAAUCGCAUACCAAAAAUCAUUCUCUACGGGCAACUCGCGUCUGGCUCAAGAAAACUGGACGCCCUCCCCCACCUCCGUUACGUGAAUGUGAUAAAACGGAACAUCGAUACUGACCAUUGGGAAGACAUAGCUCUAGACCGCACUAGUUGGAGAGAGACGGUGACCAAGAAAGCUAUUAACAGCGAGAAAACUUGGGCCUCAGUUCUUGAAGAAAAGCGCGCCUUGCGAAAAAUGGCCAGCUUGACCUGCAACAUAAGUGGACGGGAGUGUUUCUCCAAAAUAGGGCUCCACAGCCAUAUGAAAAGUGUUCGAGAUGAACCAUAGUCGUUCUACGACUGAAGGAGGCCAAUGAUGUUUAAAAAGUGAUCUUGAUAAUUGAUAUGUCAAAAAGGUUAGCGAUUAGUUAUGAAGGAUUGCCUGAUCGUGCGGUAUGCGCGCUGGAAUGUCGCUUGGUUGUCUCGAAGGUCCCGGGUUCAUAUCUUACCCGCUGCCAUCCCCGUCGUCCAGCGGGAUGUUUGGACUAAGAAGUAGAUUAUUAUCGACUCUGAAGGAACGUCCGAAACAUGUCAAACUUGAUGUGAGAUUGGUAGGAUUGUGUCAGUGGUCUUAAGUAGGACGGACGACUCCAGAACGUGAGACUGCAAUGUAAUGAGUUAGAUUUCGUUUUAAAUACCAUUUUAUAGUAUUACUUAAGUCUAAUAUAUUUAUUAACUUUAACCACAAGCUCAUUUUGUCUAUACUUUAAUAAAAGAUAUUUUUAGUAUUGCUCACAAAGAAGUUAUUCCAGCAAUUUCAAGUUUUACAUGUUAAACUAUAAUGCGUCUAUAGCGGUUUAGUUGUCUACCAGCAGUUUGGUGCUACAAGUCAACCACCGUCAACAGCACAGAGUGAUAAUAGAGAGAAAAAAACAACAGUAGUGUGUCUGUGUGUCCAUGUAGUCUUUGCAAGAUAUGUGUUUCUGUAGGUGUGUCUACUGUGUGUCUGUAAUAUGUGUUGAUUCGUUUAAAUUAUUGCAUAGUCGAAUUCAAUCAAAUGUAGCAACUGAAUAAUUAAAAAGUAUAUCUAGA